rnacentral:lncRNA from 1 species
UUGUUUUAAGAAAUGGUCAUAGUAAUAAAAAUAAGCUUUCUUCUAUGAAUUCUUCUAUAAAAAUUGCAACAAUGGAAGAGAUAUGAGAGAAAGAAUUGGGCAGCAUUUCUAUUGAAUUUUGGACAGCACAUCCUUUGAACUUUACACAGCAAAACAUCAAAUAUUGACAGCGAAACAAAGAAAUUUUCACUAUCCGGAAAUUCAUCUAAAUCUGAUUUGUCACCAACCCCACACGGCAUCUCAAACAAAGUAUCUUGCUCUUCCUCGUCCUCCUCCUCAUCCUCUUCCACAUCUUCAUGAUCCUCCUCCACUUGCUUAUCAUGCUCCAUUGCCUAGCACACAACAACAACACACACAUGAGCUUGGACACACAUAUAUUUGACUUUUGGAUAGCAAAAAUAGCACACACAUGAGCUUGCACAAACAUAUAUUUGAGAUUUGGACACCAAAAAAAGCACACACAUGAGCUUUGCACAAACAUAUAUUUGACAUUUGGAUACCAAAAACAGCACAUAUGAGCUUGGGCACACAUAAAUUUGACUUUCAAAAAGCAAAAACAGCACAUACAUGAGCUUGCACAAAUAUAUAUUUUGCACACACAUACCUGGGAAGAUGUAGCCUCCCUCUCAUAGUCGUUUGCGGAGCCAGAGGCAGCGGCGAUUCCGGCACGCACGCCAGCGCCGGUGGGGUCAGGGGGACGUCGAGGCGGAGGUCCCCGAGACCGGCAACUUACUCUUCAUAAUGGAGUCCAAGGUCCUCUCUUUCUCCUUCUCCUUCCCAUUCGCCUUCCCCUUUUCCUUGUCUAUUGUUGCGACGAUAGGCCUCUGCACACAUCAGCAAACAACACACGGUCAAUCAUCGACAGAAGUAAACUAAUUACACAUGGAAUCAAUGUAAUUUCCCAGCAAGUAGUUUUUUUUCAAGCUGCUAUGCUACAGCAAGUAGAUCAUCAACAGCAGAAAACUAAUUACACAUGGAAUCAAUGAAAAUUUCGAUCCAUUCUGCCCUAUAACUCCAUCCAUCCAUGAUCCAUCCAUCCGGCUCUUCUAGAUCUAGCCCUACAGGCUACAAUACAUCCAUCCAUGAUCCAUCCAUCUAGCCCUACAUCUACAUGACUACAUCCAUCAUCCAUCCAUCCAUCCAUCCAUCAGAUGCAUGCUAGUUUAGACACCUAUGGCUAGGGAUUGGGACGGAAGAACUACAUGAGUACAUCCAUCGAUCCAUCCAUCCAUUGAUCCAUCACAUGCGUAAUAGUAGUUCAGAGAGUUGCGGCUAGGGAUUGGAAAGGAAGGAGGUACCUGCUCCUGCUCGUCACGUUCGGCGAGAAACCAGGGGAGGCGCGUCCGUCUGCGUCCGGCGUGGUGAGGAAACGUGGCGUCGCCCGUCGCCGUCGAGCCCGUUGCUGUCGGUGUGGUUAGGAGACGCGGCGUCGCUCGUCGCCGUCGAUCCAGCUUUGCGGCGCAGAGCAGAGAAAGGGGCGAGGCAGCACAGAGCAAAG